GGCCAGACUCCUACGGGAGGCAGCAGUGGGGGAUAUUGCACAAUGGGGGGAACCCUGAUGCAGCGACGCCGCGUGGGUGAAGGAGUAUUUCGGUAUGUAAAGCCCUAUCGGCAGGGAAGAAGCAAGACGGUACCUGACUAAGAAGCCCCGGCUAACUACGUGCCAGCAGCCGCGGUAAUACGUAGGUGGCAAGCGUUGUCCGGAAUUACUGGGUGUAAAGGGAGCGUAGGCGGGAGGAUAAGUUGGACGUAUAAACUAUCGGCUCAACCGGUAGAGGCGUUCAAAACUGUCCUUCUUGAGUGAAGUAGAGGUAAGCGGAAUUCCUAGUGUAGCGGUGAAAUGCGUAAAUAUUAGGAGGAACACCAGUGGCGAAGGCGGCUUACUGGGCUUUAACUGACGCUGAGGCUCGAAAGCGUGGGUAGCAAACAGGAUUAGAUACCCCAGUA
rnacentral:rRNA from 1 species